CAACGAAGAGUGGAGAGUGUAAG
rnacentral:piRNA from 1 species